UUCCUCAGGACUCAGAGUGAGAGUUUAGAGUUACAGCUGAUAACUUUGCUGGAAACUGUGAGCACAGUCUGUGCUCACCAGCAUACAAAAUCCAGGAGAAGAUUGAGUCUUUUGCAAUUGAGCAGGAUGAGGAAUCACACCAAUCAUUUGUAAAUGAAAGCAGCAGUCAUGAUGUUGUCAAUGAGAAUGAAUUUUAAAUAGGACAUGAUACAGGGCCACUUUUAAGUGAUGAAGCAGACGAGUAUGAUGAUGGUAAUGAUGAUGAAUCAUACCAUCCUUCAAGCGAUGAAAAAAGCUGUGAUGAAGAUACCAUUAAUGAUCUUGAUAUGCCCAGUAAGCCUCUCAAAUCUGAAAUGCAGCAGAAACAAGCUGCACUUGCAAGUGACAGCGAAAAGGACAGUGAAUGUGAAGAUGAUCAUGAUGAUGUCGGCAAAGUUUUACCACAGUCAGAGAAGCGAAAGACCAGGUUUUUAGAGGCCAAAAACAUCGUCUGGGAACUAUAAUAAUAAAAAACAUUCAUGUCUCUUUUGUGAGAAGUUUUGCCAGCAGGCAGUUGAUGGUAUGCAUAUCAUAUAAGCCCAUAGCUCUUUAAGUACAAAAAAUUGUGAGAUUCAUUUUUGCAUAUAGGUUCAGGAUGGAGCUGAAUAUUGAAAAAAUAUAUCCUAUAAUUUUUUUUUCAUGGACAUGUAGCAGACAGCUGUUUGCAUAAUUUAAGCAAGUAAUUAUUUUUUAACCAAAAUUUGUGAAAUUUAUCGCU